rnacentral:rRNA from 1 species
UACGUAGGGUGCAAGCGUUAAUCGGAAUACUGGGCGUAAAGCGCACGUAGGCGGAUCGAUCAGUCAGGGGUGAAAUCCCAGGGCUCAACCCUGGAACUGCCUUUGAUACUGUCGAUCUGGAGUAUGGAAGAGGUGAGUGGAAUUCCGAGUGUAGAGGUGAAAUUCGUAGAUAUUCGGAGGAACACCAGUGGCGAAGGCGGCUCACUGGUCCAUUACUGACGCUGAGGUAGCG